UAGGGAAUCUUCCACAAUGGGCGCAAGUCUGAUGGAGCAACGCCGCGUGAGUGAAGAAGGUCUUCGGAUCGUAAAACUCUGUUGUUAGAGAAGAACACGAGUGAGAGUAACUGUUCAUUCGAUGACGGUAUCUAACCAGCAAGUCACGGCUAACUACGUGCCA
rnacentral:rRNA from 1 species